GCCAGGGGCCUAAAGCCACAUGGAAUAGCAGCAAAAGCAGCACAACACUGCAGAGCAUGAUGUGAGGUUAGUGUCCACCCAAAUUGCUAUCAUCGUGUCAGCAGCUUUUUUUCUCUUACCCGCUGCUUUGGUGUUUGCAGAGUUAGGUGUCUGAGCAGAGGUUAUAGUACAAGCAUUGUGUGGAGUGGUGUCCAAUGAUACAAUAGAAUCAAA